ACAAAUAAACCAAGAUACUGACUGUGAUGAACAUAUACGUACGUAGCCAGAAGGUAACCGUCAUCAAAAAUUGUUCAAUUAAAAUCUGAAGAUCAGAAGGCAAACACCAGUUCUGGGGCGGUAUAAUGCUCACUGCUUUGUCUGCCUUCCUGCAGCAGCAGUAAAAGACGAACGUGAGAGGAGAAGCUAACGGAAACACACAGAAACGGUGGGGAUUGGAAAUAAGCCAUCAGCAGGUACUGGGACCUAAGACAGAGCUUCCCGUCAGAGGUGAGACCAGAGACAUGAAAGCUGCCCAGCAGGAGGCAGAGCCCUGAAGGACACACAGAAGGCAGAGGAGUCCGUGAAACAGGGCUGGGUACAGGAGUGAGUUACUGAGGGGGAGACUUCGCUCUUUCUCCAGCUUCCCUCCGUCAGCGCCUCCUCAGACGCAGCUCAGCAGGAAGGUGGCUGACACGGAACUUGUGAAGUAAGAGGUUUGAGUUCUCAGAUUGAUGGGAGCAGGAGUAUAACUUAUCAAAUGAAAAUAAGAGCUCCAGUUGUGGGGAGAUACUGAGAAGAUACUACAAGGUCCUAGAAGAUUUGAGAAAAAUAUGGAUUAAAUAUCAGAAUGAGACUGCAUUUCAAGAGCCACCAUUAUCACUUCAAGGUGGCACUUUCAGUUCAUUUUUUGAGCUUUUCCACUGCUUCUGAUGUGCAGCAGUGUGGAAAGCAGAAUAUGACAGGAGGAGGAGGAAGAGGAGGGAGAGGCAAAGGGCAAGAGGAGCGGGUGACCAGAGAGAGCUACGUAGCUCUGGGGGAGAGACUGAAACAGCUACAUUAAACUGUAAAUGCGGGCGAGACUGUCAGUUCACCGUCCGCAGACCCAGACCUCAGAUGCAGAUCAGGAUGCAGAGAGCUGAUUUCCGCAAUUCA